rnacentral:lncRNA from 1 species
CAAUCUGGUGUUCUGAAGGCUUGUUGACUCAUUACUAUCUCUUAUGGCCUGAUGGAAAUACACAAAGAAAAGUCAGUGGAGCGUGCUUUCUCAAGCCAGUGACCCAAGACGCCAUGAAGCGCAUCUAGCAAAGGGAUCAGCUCUGCGGGUCACACAGAGCCAAUCUGUGCCCGACCUGGCAGAGGUCUGCUGACUGGAUGCAGAGUCACAGGCUUCUGACGGGAAGUCAAACAGCUGGUUUCACGGUCAUCCCCGUAACAUGCAGCCAACAUGCUGAGCUACAGCCCAGGCAGUUCUGAGGUGCGCCGAGCCUACGGGACUACUAGAGAACUCUAGCUGAUGACACCUUCCCAACAAAUGUGUGACUUUUCAUGUUAAUUUUUAAAAAACAGUUAAGUCAUUUUUAUUUCUCAUACACACGUGCAUAUUAUUCUAAGGUUAACAGCCAUAUCACCAAACUGUUAAAGUUUUAAACUAAAUUAUUCGGCAUGAUAUAACUAUAAAAACAACUACUUAAAACUUACAAAAACACAACUCACAGUCCC